AAAAAAAAAGGAGUAUUCUUGUCGGGUUCGAGCUUGUGGCCCGCCUGCCUCUCUCCCUCUAGUCUCGAACGUUUGUACAGCGGCGAAGCUAAGGAGCGGCGCCCCUCCGAGAGGAGUGCGGGCUAGGCGCGUCCUCCUGGUCGCUCCGCCGAGGAGGUGGUGAGGUCCUCGGUACGCCUGCCACGGGCCCCUAGACCGAAGAGACGGGCAAACGGCUACCCUCCGUUGUUGUUCGACGCACGAUCGCAGCGCCGCCACCCCCGGAACAGACGGCGGAACUAGCCUCGUUUCGACAUAGAGUCUUUUGUUUUUGUGUCUUCGUUGGUUGUAGACUUAGAAGUCCAUCCUUACCGUUCCGACCUCCCGACUUUUAUCUUCUGAGACGACCGACGACUUCUACACACGGAAAUAUAUACAACGACGGCACAAAAUCAUCAAAUAAACGACAAUCAAAGAGACCACGGGAGCACUUGAAACAAUAUAGGCCCUACUACUACUAUCCGUCUGAACAUCCGGACUACCAAAAACCACUACAACCAAGCACAUCCCAAACGCCGCGACGGAACGUAAUACAAUCAGCAAUCCAACUUAUAACACCAAGACGUUCGACCAAAAGUCACUACUUUUAGCCUUCCCCCUUUGGGGAAGAAACUAGAGGAAAAGAAAGUCGAGGAGCACUGUACAAUGGAUUAGUAUAUAUACUUGUAUGUUUGGAACAGCACGGGUGUCGAACCCGGGAUUGGCUGUUCUUGCGCCGCUGCGACCUCCUCCACUAGCGGCUCCUCGCCCUGCGCCUCUUCCUCCGUCGUUACUUCCGCUCCAAGCUCCUCACCUACCAGCUCAUUCUCGCUUCUCCUCUUCCGGUAACGUUCUUGCGGCUCUCCCGGUUGUACGAGAGGGCACCUCCGCGGUGCAAGUCCGGCUUGUUGGAGACGUCUCACUCGCACUCGGCUGGAAGCGCGUAUCCAAACCCAUGGGCAUGGCCGCGCGGCAGCUUACCACCCAAGAUCCGUUCACUUCCCACGAUGAAAACCCUGCUUGCCGCUCAUACCAACAAAGUUCAAAACAAUCAUAGUCAAAGUCACAGAAAACGAGAGUCAUACCCCUCAUUACACUUACAAGAGAUCCAAAAUAGUUCGAUAUUUUGUCCGUGGUACACUUACAUCACAAUAACUACACGACCGGAAGUGACUGAGCU
rnacentral:rRNA from 1 species